CUCACCCCUGAAAUCUGGCACUUUCAGUGUCCGAGUUGUAAUUUGAAGAAGGUAUCUUUGGGUCUGGCUCUUGUCUAUGUUUCUUGGAACAGAACGUCACAGAGGGUGAGAAUCCCGUGCGAUGAGAUGUCCCAGACCUAUGUAAAGUUCCUUCGAAGAGUCGAGUUGUUUGGGAAUGCAGCUCUAAGUGGGUGGUAAAUUCCAUCUAAAGCUAAAUAUUGGCGAGAGACCGAUAGCGAACAAGUACAGUGAUGGAAAGAUGAAAAGAACUUUGAAAAGAGAGUGAAAAAGUACGUGAAAUUGUUGAAAGGGAAGGGCUUGAGAUCAGACUUGGUAUUUUGUAUGUUACUCUCUCGGGGGUGGCCUCUACAGUUUACCGGGCCAGCAUCAGUUUGAGCGGUAGGAUAAGUGCAAAGAAAUGUGGCACUGCUUCGGUAGUGUGUUAUAGUCUUUGUCGAUACUGCCAGCUUAGACUGAGGACUGCGGCUUCGGCCUAGGAUGUUGGCAUAAUGAUCUUAAGUCGC
rnacentral:rRNA from 1 species